rnacentral:rRNA from 1 species
AAAAGGUGGCUAUGCUACCGCUUUUGGAUGGGCCCGCGGCGCAUUAGCUAGUUGGUGGGGUAAAGGCUUACCAAGGCAAUGAUGCGUAGCCGAACUGAGAGGUUGAUCGGCCACAUUGGGACUGAGACACGGCCCAAACUCCUACGGGAGGCAGCAGUAGGGAAUCUUCCACAAUGGGCGAAAGCCUGAUGGAGCAACGCCGCGUGGGUGAAGAAGGUCUUCGGAUCGUAAAACCCUGUUGUUAGAGAAGAAAGUGCGUGAGAGUAACUGUUCACGUUUCGACGGUAUCUAACCAGAAAGCCACGGCUAACUACGUGCCAGCAGCCGCGGUAAUACGUAGGUGGCAAGCGUUAUCCGGAUUUAUUGGGCGUAAAGGGAACGCAGGCGGUCUUUUAAGUCUGAUGUGAAAGCCUUCGGCUUAACCGGAGCAGUGCAUUGGAAACUGGGAGACUUGAGUGCAGAAGAGGAGAGUGGAACUCCAUGUGUAGCGGUGAAAUGCGUAGAUAUAUGGAAGAACACCAGUGGCGAAAGCGGCUCUCUGGUCUGUAACUGACGCUGAGGUUCGAAAGCGUGGGUAGCAAACAGGAUUAGAUACCCUGGUAGUCCACGCCGUAAACGAUGAAUGCUAAGUGUUGGAGGGUUUCCGCCCUUCA